GACGAACGCUGGCGGCGUGCUUAACACAUGCAAGUCGAACGCUGAAGCUCAGCUUUUGUUGGGUGGAUGAGUGGCGAACGGGUGAGUAACACGUGAGUAACCUGCCCCCUUCUUUGGGAUAACGCCCGGAAACGGGUGCUAAUACUGGAUAUUCACUGGUCUUCGCAUGGGGGUUGGUGGAAAGGGUUUUUUUGGUGGGGGAUGGGGUCGCGGCCUGUCAGCUUGUUGGGGGGGUGAUGGCCUACCAAGGCUUUGACGGGUAGCCGGCCUGAGAGGGUGAACGGUCACAUUGGGACUGAGAUACGGCCCAGACUCGUACGGGGGGCAGCAGUGGGGACUAUUGCACAAUGGGCGCAAGCGUGAUGCAGCGACGCCGCGUGAGGGAUGGGGGCCUUCGGGUUGUGAACCUCUGUCGCUAAUGGUCAAGCCGCAACAAUGGUUGUGGUGAGGGUAGUGGGUAAAGAAGCGCCGGCUAACUACGUG
rnacentral:rRNA from 1 species